rnacentral:rRNA from 1 species
GAUGAACGCUAGCUACAGGCUUAACACAUGCAAGUCGAGGGGCAGCAUGGUCUUAGCUUGCUAAGGCCGAUGGCGACCGGCGCACGGGUGAGUAACACGUAUCCAACCUGCCGUCUACUCUUGGACAGCCUUCUGAAAGGAAGAUUAAUACAAGAUGGCAUCAUGAGUCCGCAUGUUCACAUGAUUAAAGGUAUUCCGGUAGACGAUGGGGAUGCGUUCCAUUAGAUAGUAGGCGGGGUAACGGCCCACCUAGUCUUCGAUGGAUAGGGGUUCUGAGAGGAAGGUCCCCCACAUUGGAACUGAGACACGGUCCAAACUCCUACGGGAGGCAGCAGUGAGGAAUAUUGGUCAAUGGGCGCGGGCCUGAACCAGCCAAGUAGCGUGAAGGAUGACUGCCCUAUGGGUUGUAAACUUCUUUUAUAAAGGAAUAAAGUCGGGUAUGUAUACCCGUUUGCAUGUACUUUAUGAAUAAGGAUCGGCUAACUCCGUG